GCCGGGCAUGGUGGCUCAUGCCUGUAAUCCCAGCACCUUGGGAGGCUGAGGCGGGUGGAUCACCUGAGGUCAGGAGUUCGAGACCAGCCUGGCCGACAUGGUGAUACCCCGUCUCUA
rfam:Pan troglodytes isolate Yerkes chimp pedigree #C0471 (Clint) chromosome 13, whole genome shotgun sequence.